GCUUACGGCCAUACCACCUUAGGCACGCCCGAUCUCGUCUGAUCUCGGAAGCUAAGCAGGGUCGGGCCUGGUUAGUACUUGGAUGGGUGGCCGCCUGGGAAUACCAGGUGCUGUAAGCA
rnacentral:rRNA from 1 species